UUGAAUUUUAAUGAAGAGUUUGGUUGUAGCUGGCCCAUUCAUUUGGGCAUGUGCACACCUUCCUCUUUCAUCCCACACACACAUGUGAACCUGUGAGACAGAGAUGGGGAAUUUACUUGCUGCUUUUUGGAAUACAAAGGCAAUAGGUUAUUGGACCCCCCCUCUGUCUACUCAAUUAAUAUAAACUCAAUUUAUUUUAAAACGAAUGUAAUGGAUGUAACACAUCUCAUAC
rnacentral:misc_RNA from 1 species